rnacentral:lncRNA from 1 species
GAGCAGAAGCCGCAGGAACCAGCGGGAGCAGCAGGAGGAGCUGCGGGACUCGUUUGCCGAGGCUCGUGUUCUGCUCAAAAGUUUGUAGACGCGCAGAACCAGGAGGGAGCGUGACACGGAGAGAAGGGGGCGCAGAGAGAGAGGCAGAAGAAAGAAAGAGGGGGCGAUGAGGUGAAGCGCGGAGGAGCAAGGUGGCCGUAAGUCCACCCGGAGGAAGAAGCAGGCGAUUAAGGGAAAGAGGGAAAGUCAGAAAAGAAGGGGAGGAAGGCAAGGGAGAGGGCGGGCGGCUAGCCCGCCUUUGUAGGAGCCGCGGGCCAGGCAGCCGCGAGGGUCGGCGGCGCCUUCUCUGCUCCGAGGUCUCUCCGGCUGCCUCUGAAGCUGCGGCUUCUGCUGCUGCUACCGCUGGUUACAGAGGUGACCGGCCUUCUGCUCCUAUUUAUCUGUGCAGUUCGCAAAAAUCUAUCCGAACAUGGUUUUUGGAGAGCCCUCUUUGUCAACAUCUGCCUGCCUGUUGCCUUUAAGUACAGAAUAUUUUGUUGCACUGUUGCGCUCCGAUUUUUAUUCAUGAAAUGACUUCCUUUUUUUUUUUCUCAGUCACGUAAUGAUCGGGUAUCAGAAAAAGACGUCAGCAUCCUAGUCCCUCAAGGAACAUAUUAACUAUUCUGUGCUGUCCUCUUGGAUGAUAAGAUCCGGAGUCAUCGACUUCUCAUAAACACCUUUCACUCAUACAAUCCAAUUUUUAAGAAGUCCAAUUGUUUUGAUGGUUUUCAAUUUCACCCGUUUCUCAAGGACAGGUAAAGAAUUUUUAGAAUUUUGAGGAUGACAAAAGUUAUGUUUUUAACUAUAUAAUUACGAUUUCUCUUUACUUUUUCAUCAAGCCUCACCAAUCAGAGCUCUGGUCUCUGGAAUUAAGCAUCAUCAAGCUCUCCUAUUAAUAAAUUUAAUUUAGAUCUCCUAAUUUCUUGCGUAUGUUCUUUCAGAUAGACCAUUAAAUGUGGAAGUCGUUUUGUUUUUAAAGGGAAGUCUUGGAGGAUUUUCAGUAAAUCUCUCCUGAGUCUGGCUGCCGUUGACAGUAGGGCUAUGAGUAGAUUGAUGAGAGCUCAUGCUGCCUCCGGAGCGCGGCCUGCGGAGCUGUCCAGACUCCGGGUGCUGAAGUGUAGGGUAACAGAUGCUACAAACGUUGAAAAUUGCCACCGGUUUAAUUUUUCACCAGAGCCUCUAAAUUUGAAGAUUUGGCAGUAGUGCUAUUAACGUGGCGAUUCAUCGCCUAAAUCACCCCCACCGUUCAGAUACAUCCUUUCCCUCUUGUAGCGUCCAUAAAUGCCCUAAUGCUGAGAAUGCUCCCCAUCCCUGCCUGGAUUUGAGGAAAAAGCAUUCUGUCCCCCGUUAGUCCUGGCUUUUGGAUUUCUAGACCGGCUGUUUGGCUACUUUCACACCUUCUGUGGCUCUUACAGAUUUUAAAAAUUGAUGUUGUGAAAUUGUGUUUUCCACAAGAAGUGAAAUUUUAAGAAUUUGGGGGCGAGAAAUAUGUUUUUCCACUUUGUUUACAACUUCAGCUCUGUUUGGGAGACACAGACAGACUGGGAAAGCAUGAGGGUUCCCAGUACAAGUUCACCUGAUGAAGGUUUCUAACAGGAAUCCCUCUGCUGGAAACAGUUAAUUUUUUUAACUGAAAAUGAUGUGGGAAGAGGAAAGCAAUAAGGGAAGACCAUAUCCACCCAGAGGCUUCCAAUUUCCUGGGUAAUUGAAGAAGGUUCAUAUAUUUCUACUCCAGUAAGAGAACUCAGGUCUAUUUCUUUAAAAAAAAAAAAAAGAAGAAGAAGAAAGAAAGAAAGAAAAUAGAGCCAUCAAUAACCAUUAGAGUGCAUUUUAAUUAUUUGGAUCUUACACAAAAAUUAGGGGAAAUUCCAGUUUAGUGGGAGGGUUUCCUGUUACUACGAUUUGGAUCUCACAUUUAAAUAAGCUAUAUUAGUUCUGCAUGCUUUUUCCAAGAUAUUAUAUUUCUCCUUCUAAAUGCUGUUCCUGCUCUUAUUUGAGAUUUAAUACUUCCUCCUUCUUAAAAAAAAAAACUAAGUUUUGUUUAUUCCUGGCCAUGAAUGACCGAAAACUGUCUGCUUCCUCUUAGUUUAUUCCUGGCCGUGCUUCAGAUUGUCUGCCUUCAAUAAAGCUUCAAACCACAUCUACAUGGGAAUAUGUCUCUUUUUCUCUGAUACAUAUGCUCACUGAUUUAUGUUGGACUGUUUACAUGCGUGUUUUCCAUGUUCAGCUCUGCCUCUGCAGCAAGCUCGCACACAAAGAGCCUGCGGUGAACACUACCAGAUAAUCAA